UGUCACUGGAAUGAAGAGUAGAUGGCAGAGAUUAAAGUUAAGGAUGACUGGAAAAGAUAACCUUUCAUCCACUACUUCACAGCAACUCACCAGUUACAAUCCUUCUGAAAUCCACUUCCAUAAGCAAAUUUAGUGACCUUAUUUUCACCUAAUGAAACCAUCACCUGACCUCCAAGCCAUCAGCCUGACUUUGAUAAGCAUGCUUUUCUAAUAUAGUCUUUAAAACACAUGCACACCUGGCCCAAUUAUAUUUCAGGCACUUGGCUCUGUGCAUUCGAAUCUGCAGAA